rnacentral:tRNA from 1 species
GUCCCUGUAGCGCAAUGAACAGCGCCUUGGACUUCUAAUCCAGAGGUCGUGGGCUCUAAUCCCACCUGGUAUG